GAUGAAGAACGCAGUGAAAUGCGAUAAGUAAUGUGAAUUGCAGAAUUCAGUGAAUCAUCGAAUCUUUGAACGCACCUUGCGCUCCUUGGUAUUCCUUGGAGCAUGCCUGUUUGAGUAUCAUGAAAUCUUCAAAGUCAAACCUUUUGUUAAUUCAAUUGGUUCUGCUUUGGUAUUGGAGGAUUAUUGCAGCUUCACACCUGCUCCUCUUUGUGCAUUAGCUGGAUCUCAGUGUUAUGCUUGGUUCCACUCAGCGUGAUAAGUUAUCUAUCGCUGAGGACACCCUGUUAAAAAGGGGUGGCCAAGGUAAAUGCAGAUGAACCGCUUCUAAUAGUCCAUUGACUUGGACAAUAUCUAAUUUAUGAUCUGAUCUCAAAUCAGGUAGGACUACCCGCUGAACUUAAGCAUAUCAAUAAGCGGAGGA
rnacentral:misc_RNA from 1 species